CCCGCUGAACUUAAGCAUAUCAAUAAGCGGAGGAAAAGAAACCAACAGGGAUUGCCUCAGUAACGGCGAGUGAAGCGGCAAAAGCUCAAAUUUUAAAGCCGACAUCUUCGGUGUCCGCGUUGUAAUUUUGUGAGGCAUCUCCGGGUAGGGCGCCGGCCUAAGUUCCUUGGAACAGGACGUCACAGAGGGUGAGAAUCCCGUGCUUGGCUGGCUGUCCCCGUCCAUGUGAGGUGUCUUCGACGAGUCGAGUUGUUUGGGAAUGCAGCUCAAAAUGGGUGGUAAAUUUCAUCUAAAGCUAAAUAUUGGUGGGAGACCGAUAGCGCACAAGUAGAGUGAUCGAAAGAUGAAAAGCACUUUGAAAAUAGAGUUAAAAAGUACGUGAAAUUGUUGAAAGGGAAGCGCUUGAGACCAGACUUCGGUAAGGGGUGAUCAGCCGUCCUUCUGGGCGGUGCACUUGCCCCCCUCCGGGCCAGCAUCGGUUGAGGCGGCGGGAUAAAGGUCCCGGGAAUGUGGCUCCUUCACGGGAGUGUUAUAGCCCGGGUGAAUGCCGCCAGCUUCGACCGAGGACCGCACCCGCAAGGGUUAGGAUGCUUGGCAUAAUGGUCUUCAGCGACCCGUCUUGAAACACGG
rnacentral:rRNA from 1 species